rnacentral:rRNA from 1 species
GAUGAACGCUGGCGGUAUGCCUAACACAUGCAAGUCGUACGAGAGUUUUUAACUCUAGCGGCGGACGGGUGAGUAACACGUGAGAAUUUGCCUUUAGGAGGGGGACAACAAUUGGAAACGAAUGCUAAUACCCCCAUAUGCUUUCGAGUGAAAUGGAUUUUAUCCGCCUAGAGAGAAGCUCGCGGCUGAUUAGCUUGUUGGUAAGGUAAGAGCUUACCAAGGCGACGAUCAGUAUCUGGUUUGAGAGGACGAUCAGACACACUGGAACUGAGACACGGUCCAGACUCCUACGGGAGGCAGCAGUGGGGAAUUUUCCGCAAUGGGCGAAAGCCUGACGGAGCAAUACCGCGUGAGGGAAGAAGGUCUUCGGAUUGUAAAGCACUUUAAGUUGGGAGGAAGGGUAGUAACCUAAUACGUUGCUACUUUGACGUUACCGACAGAAUAAGCACCGGCUAACUUCGUGCCAGCAGCCGCGGUAAAGUGACUACUG